UACGUAGGGCGCAAGCGUUGUCCGGAAUUAUUGGGCGUAAAGAGCUCGUAGGCGGCCUGUUGCGUCCGCUGUGAAAUCCCGGGGCUCAACCCCGGGCCUGCAGUGGAUACGGGCGGGCUAGAGGCAGGCAGGGGAGAACGGAAUUCCUGGUGUAGCGGUGAAAUGCGCAGAUAUCAGGAGGAACACCGGUGGCGAAGGCGGUUCUCUGGGCCUGUACUGACGCUGAGGAGCGAAAGCGUGGGGAGCGAACAGG
rnacentral:rRNA from 1 species